CAGCAAGAGAUUCAAACCUUGCUUGCUCACAAGGUUAAUAUUUACAAAUAUUGACUUCUGUUGAGCCCUUUGGAACUUAAAAAAUAGUCUCUUGAUUUCUCAGUGAUAACACAGGAGGGAUUUUUGUUUUGUUUUUUUAGUUGGGCAGUGCACAAUUUUAUAUUUUUACUCUGAAAGCUGGUUUGCAAGGAGGUGCAUAAAUAUUAUUUAUCAAAUUACUAGCAUUUUUUGCAAUGCAACUUAUGUUUUUAUAAUGACACCAGAUUAAGAAGAGUGAAAGAAUUGAGCUGCAAAUCUAAGCUUUGCACUCCCAAUCUUAUGUUGGAAUAAUAAAUUCAGUUCAGCCAUAACUUACUGAAUAUGUCUAAUAUUUCUGAAAAUGUCUGAGAUAUUACUGGAUAGGUCAUAGAAGAAAUAUGGAGAAAUGGAAACUAGAAUGAUCUGUGUGAUUCUAGUGCUGCAACUCCUGAAACCUGAAGUCUGUGACUCACCAGUUCUAAGCCCCAGAGUCCUGAUGGGGCACCUCAAGGAGACACUUCAGCCACCUAAGUCAGCUGGACCACCCCAUGACACAGUCAUGGAGGUUCCAGUCUGAAUUCAGAGUCAAUGAUAAGGGAGGCUUCCGUGGCAGAGUGAAAAGCACACACCUGAGAAAUGAAAAGAAAUGGCAAAGGUCACACGUCUCAGGAUGAAUUGCACUGUGUGUGACACCCUAGCUGAAAUCCUAUCCCACAGGACCAUCAGCCUGGAAUGCAGUUUGAAGAUAUGUGCAGAAGAAAUGCCCAAGCCGACCCCGGACCUACAGUGAGAAGCAGAACAGCCCAGAGAAGCUCAGCCUAGGGCAACAGAGACAGCCUAGUCAACCUACAGAUCUGGGACAAUAAAUGCUUCUGCUUUUAAGCCACCG
rnacentral:lncRNA from 10 species